UCCACAGUCAGGAUGCCGAGGAAUGG
rnacentral:piRNA from 1 species